GACAGAGGUGGCUAGCGUUGUUCGGAUUCAUUGGGUGUAAAGGGUGCGUAGGCGGUUUAGAAAGUCAGGUGUGAAAGCCCACAGCUCAACUGUGGAAUUGCAUUUGAAACUCCUAGACUCGAGUGCGAGAGAGGUGAAGGGAAUUCCCGGUGUAAGGGUGAAAUCUGGAGAGAUCGGGAGGAACACCAGUAGCGAAGGCGCGUCACUGGCUCGUAACUGACGCUGAGGGCACGAAGGCGUGGGGAGCAAACGGG
rnacentral:rRNA from 1 species